GCCCGGUUAGCUCAUUAGGUAGAGCAGUGGAUUAGAAAUCCAUAGGUCGCUGGUUCGAUCCCGGGGCUGGGCG